rnacentral:rRNA from 1 species
UACAGAGGGGGCAAGCGUUAUUCGGAAUUAUUGGGCGUAAAGGGCGCGUAGGCGGCUUGGCAAGUGGAUGGUGAAAUCCCUCGGCUUAACCGAGGAACUGCCCUCCAAACUGUUUGGCUUGAGACCGGGAGAGGUGAGUGGAAUUCCCAGUGUAGCGGUGAAAUGCGUAGAUAUUGGGAGGAACACCAGUGGCGAAGGCGGCUCACUGGACCGGAACUGACGCUGAGGCGCGAAAGCGUGGGGAGCAAACAGG